ACACAUGCAGUCGAGCGGUAGAGAGGAGCUUGCUCCUCUUGAGAGCGGCGGACGGGUGAGUAAUGCCUAGGAAUCUGCCUGGUAGUGGGGGAUAACGUUCGGAAACGGACGCUAAUACCGCAUACGUCCUACGGGAGAAAGCAGGGGACCUUCGGGCCUUGCGCUAUCAGAUGAGCCUAGGUCGGAUUAGCUAGUUGGUGAGGUAAUGGCUCACCAAGGCUACGAUCCGUAACUGGUCUGAGAGGAUGAUCAGUCACACUGGAACUGAGACACGGUCCAGACUCCUACGGGAGGCAGCAGUGGGGAAUAUUGGACAAUGGGCGAAAGCCUGAUCCAGCCAUGCCGCGUGUGUGAAGAAGGUCUUCGGAUUGUAAAGCACUUUAAGUUGGGAGGAAGGGCAGUAAAUUAAUACUUUGCUGUUUUGACGUUACCGACAGAAUAAGCACCGGCUAACUCUGUGCCAGCAGCCGCGGUAAUACAGAGGGUGCAAGCGUUAAUCGGAAUUACUGGGCGUAAAGCGCGCGUAGGUGGUUUGUUAAGUUGGAUGUGAAAUCCCCGGGCUCAACCUGGGAACUGCAUUCAAAACUGACUGACUAGAGUGUGGUAGAGGGUGGUGGAAUUUCCUGUGUAGCGGUGAAAUGCGUAGAUAUAGGAAGGAACACCAGUGGCG
rnacentral:rRNA from 1 species